GGUUUUGAAGUAGAGGGGUAUUGAUAGAGCGCGGAACAGAAAAUGAAGCAGAAGAUUGAAAAAAAUGAAAUUGUGUCGGAAUUGUUCGUAGUACUGAGAAACAUGGACAUAUGCAGUCUGUGCACGGUCUCAGCAGACAUCAACUAAUGGAUCUUUUACUGCGAGUCUUGGUUGUGAUGACAACACGGAUACCUUCUCUCUAACCAAUGAUGGGGUGAAUCAGUCUGGUCUCUUGAGUUGGACGAUAUAUAUACAAUCGAUUGGAUCUUUAUUUCCAUUGGUGCUGGUACCUACGGAGAACUAACUGGGAGUCUGCCUGAGAAUUGUACGGAUAUCAAACAAUCCGAUGAAAUGAAUCCUACAUCGUUUCAGCAUCUGAUUACAUGUGAUUAUUCCAAUGCUAUAUACAGGAAAGGAAAUAGAAUUAGCAUAAUUCAAACAGGAAAUGGACCGAUCAAAGUGUUUGCAUUAAAACCAAUAGAGACAUCACCAUAUGCAGUUUCUGUACAGUCGCAGCAGACAUCAACUAAUGGUUCUUUUCUUGCCAAUCUUGGUUGUGAUGGUGACAUGGAGACCUUCUCUCUAACCAAUGAUGGAGUUAAUCAGUUCUGGUCCCUUGAACUGGACAAUAUUUAUACGAUUGAUUGGAUCUUUCUUUCCAUUGGUGCUGGUACCUACAGCAUUUAUGUAGAACUAAUUGGGAGUCCACCAGUGAAGUGUACGGAUAUUAGAUAAUCUGAACAAAUGAAACAUACACUGUUUCAGCAACUGAUAACAUGUGAAUAUCCUAUCGUUGCCUACCGGAAAGGAAAUAGAAUUAGCUUAACUCGAACAGGAAAUGGACCAAUCAAAGUGUUUGAAUUAAAACCAAUAGGACUUUCUGGUAUCAAUCAAUCAGUGCUGCUGAACUUUACGGAAUAUUCGAUGAAAUUUUCAAAAGCUUUAGAUAACGACAUGGACACUUUUUACCAUUCACCAGAGAAGAUCCAUGCAUCUUGGUUCCUGAAAUUGAACAAAAACUAUGUGAUUAAGUGGAUUCUUAUUUCGACAUGGGGAGGAAAUUAUGAAGUACACAUUAAAGAAGAUGGCGGAAGAACGAGUUCGUCAACAAUGUGUCAGAAUUUCAGUCUCCAUGGAAUAAAACAACAAAACAUAGCCUUGGAAUGUUACAAAGAAAUGAAGGGGUAUACUAUUAUAAUAAAAAGAACCGAUGACGGACCAUUGAGGCUGUUUGAAG